UUCAUCGUCAUAAAGGUUGCAAAUAAGCAAAGGCCUCCGAGAUCUUCCAAUCCGGACAAGAAACACAGACUAGUGUGUAACUGGUACGGUGCAGCCAUCAACCCGAGCAGCGUUUCUCCCACCAACCACUUUAUGAGCGCCUUGCACAAAUGUUGUGCAUGAGCUAUUUAAUAAAGCACCAUAGAGGGGAGACGGGGGUGAUUCGUUCAUGCCAGGGGAAACCAGAUUCUGUGCAGUGUGAGUACUUUUGCCACUUUGUUCGUGUUUGUACUUGAUUUACACUGGAUAUUGAAAGUAACGCAGUUGGCUUUCCUGCGAUUGGCUGGCAACCGGUUCAGGGUGUCCCCCGCUUACUGCCCGGAGACGGCUGGGAUAGGCUCCAGCGGCCCCCACGACCCCUGGUGAGGAUCAAGCGCUUCGGAAAAUGGAUGGAUGGAUGGAGUCGGCUUUCACCACAUAGGGGCAGUGCCGAGCCUGCUUCACACUUCCAAGAGUUGAGCCGCCGAGCAACUUGAUGUAUGAGUCCCGAGAUGUGGAUCCACUCCCCAGGUGGGCACCAUGUCAUAGGUUAACAAGGAGAUUCCAUCUGACUACACCUUCGACUGGCCGCCAUGCUACAGUCAUCCAUUAGUGAAACUACAGAUAUGUUCAAUGUUGCUAAUUUGGCUUGUAUACUGAAUCAUUACUUAUAUGAAAAACAGCUUUGUGAUGAAACAAAAAGUCAAUGACUUUUAUGGAUUUUCUGGUGGCCCACAAGGGAAGAUCCAAGCUUUUACUGAUCCUCAGCGGAAUCACAUCUGAACAUUCACAAUUUAAACUAAGAAAACUGUACUAAGAUGUGCCCGACUGGGAGCAGAAAGUGGGACAGCAACAACUGUGUCAUAAAUGAUGUCAUAAAUGAUUUUUGUUUUAUUGUUUACUAUCUUUCACAGUUUUUCACAUCUAGAAAAGCUCUAUCG